CUCGUAAGAACUCUUGAGUCGGUCGCCAUUGCCCGCACGCAUCCAUUUGCUUGACCGACCGACCGACCGCAGGCCAAGACAUGAUACAGCGGCCAAAACACCCUCUCGUGUCCUUCUCCCAAUUAAAACUCUGCCGGCCUUCUGUUUCCUGUGUGUCUUUCUUCUAGGGUUCCGCUCUUAAGAGACGAAACGGAAAUAAGUCUUCAAUUCUCUACUCCUCGAUCUCGGUCUCACCUAUGGCGAUGGAGAGCUCGAGCUUCCUGUCCUGCGACAAGCUGGACCGCGUUGUGAAUUGGGUCGGGGCGAGCGUCUCCUCAGCGUUCUUCGCCUCCCUCGAGCGCUGCUCAUGCAUCACUCUCAGCACCACCGACAACGACGACGAGGUGGAGGAGGAGGCUAAGGACCGCCCUCUGAUGCUCACCAAGCCGGUUGCCAUCGACGGCCCCGACGACGCCACCUCCCCUGCUGUUUCCACCAACCCUAGCGUCGUUGACAAGCUGCCCCCUGUCUAGUUCCUGAUCCUUGCAUCAUCGGUGCACCAUUCGGUAAUCGAAACUAGUUACUACGCUUCCUGCUUGCAUGCUCGGACGAAAUUAGCGACCUGUAGUUAUCAACUUGUAUGAGGUAAGGGGAUGGUGUGAAUAUAUAGUUAUGUGUUUAUAUACAAGUUUGAAUCUUGCAUUAGUUUUAAGUUUCUCAAGGUGUGCGAUGUUAUGUUAUGUAUUCUUCUAUGGUUGGACACAACAGAUUUGAAGUAUAUGAAAUCUGUACGUAAUGCUUGUGGUCUUUAUAUAUCAAUUGAGUAUCAACUAUGCAUGCUAUUUUGUGUUGCCAUAAAUUCUUUGUAAUCCUUCUCUACUUAUCAGUAUACUACACUGGGAUGUCCGGUUUUUAAGUGUAAGGAUAAGAGGUUUUAUCCGUGGGUUUUUGCAUAAUAACCUGCUCUCAGUGGCCAACCUGAUCGCUGCUGUUGUCGUUCUUUUUCUACCAUGUAUGCGGUGAAGGAAGAAUAUUGAGGUAAUUCGAGUGUUUUGGUUUAUCUCUUCACCUAGUUGUAUCCCGUUAGGGCAGGUGGGUAUAAGAAAAAUCUGUCGAGUGUGAAGUUAUUGGUUUUUACCUCUGGAAUCUUGCAUAUUAUGUCUUGGAUCAUUGAAUGCAUAGCUAGUUAAUGUUUUCUAUAGUGUCGAUUAACUAAUGACAUUUCUAUUUUGAUUUCCAUGAUCUUUUUCCAAUCAAUAUCUAGUUAUUACCAAGUUGCAGCGGGAUACAGGGGUUUUUUUUUCGUUUGUGAAACUGCUCUCAGUAGAUAAUCUGAUCACUGCUAUUAACACUCGUUUUCUAGUAUGCUUGCAGUGGAAGCAAAAUGAUGAAGUUAUGCAGUAAUGUUCAUUCAUUUCAUGGUUCAAACCAAAAAAAGCAACACUGUUGCUAUUAGAAUUUUGACCAAAAAGUGAAUAAUUUGUUAUUUUUAUUUUCCAAUGUGACUUGGACGUUUUGCCUGAGAGAUUGAUUCUGGAGCUAACAUUUCCUAGAAUCAACCUAUGCAUAUUUAAAUGCUAAAUUUCUGACUCUAGGCAUUGUAACAACUAAGAUACUUUGUGCCACGUAUUCUUGUGUGUUUCUUUGGGGCUGAGCUUGAUAUCAAUUAGUCUUUUGAUGAAUGACCAAGCAGAGUUUACAUGAGAGCUACAAUGGCUUUUGUAAUCGGCUAUUGGCAAGAAACUCUAAUGGGUUAAUUAGAAUCUUGUAGGGCCAUACAUUAUUUAUUCAACAACCAAUAGUUGUCAUGUCAAUAAAACAAAAAAAAAAACUAUAGAGAGAACUGAAUCUUACAAAAUGUAGAUGAUAUUAGCUUCCGAUAUUAAACUUCUAAUGCGUACCAAAUAUUCUAUAAAUGAGUUUCAGAAGGGUUAGGCACAAAUAUAAAAUUGAUAUACAUAUUUCAUUGGCAAUACAAUGUUUUCUAUCUAUUGUCAAAUUGAAGUUGCAGUCAAUUUUAUUUGCUCAAGUUCAUUCUUUUCGAAGUUCCAUGUCACAGUGGGUUUGACAUUUUCAAGGCAAUUAUUCAGACCAAUCUCAAAUUAUGGUUCAACAGUUUUUAGUCUGUUUCAACUAAAGUGGGUUUGAAACCUCAUGUUAUUUUACUAAGAACAUCAAGAGCCCACACCGAGGUUAGUUAUCGACUCUGAUUAUACAUUUUGCAAUGUCCCAUGUGAAUUUGGCUUAUGUUUUUGUUACCAGUGCAGAAUAUAAUUACAAUGAGCCAAUUUUUGGAGCACAGGUUUGUUGGUGUUCAGCUGAAAUAAUUUGAAUCUGGCAAUGCUUUUUUACUCAGAUAUCAUUGGUAUUUCAUUCAUGGAGGGCAUAUUUAAUUGUGCAACAAGUUCUUUUUAUAGCAGAUGCUCAACUAUUUAUGUUGAACUGCAGUUAGUUUCUCUCUGAUGCCAACAGGAUCUCUCUCUACCUAUUUGCCCAAUACUUUUAGCUAAGUUAUGUGGGAAGAGAAUCUAUGUUAUUGAUGAAAUGCAGUUAAACAUUUUAUUGUCAAACAUGCAUGAAGCAACAGAUAUAGGAGCAUUAAUUUCA